GGGCGAGUGGCGGAAUUGGUAGACGCACUGGAUUUAGGUUCCAGCGCAGCGAUGCGUGAGGGUUCGAGUCCCUCCUUGCCCACCA
rnacentral:tRNA from 1 species